AUUGAACGCUGGCGGCAGGCUUAACACAUGCAAGUCGAGCGGAGCGAGGGUGCUUGCACCUUAGCUUAGCGGCGGACGGGUGAGAAAUGCUUAGGAAUCUGCCUAUUAGUAGGGGACAACAUUCCGAAAGGAAUGGUAAUACCGCAUACGACGUACGGGGGAAAGCAGGGGAUCUUCGGAUCUAGCGCUAAUAGAUGAGCGUAAGUCGGAUUAGCGAGUUGGUGGGGUAAAGGCCUACCAAGGCUACGAUCUGUAGCGGGUCAGAGAGGAUGAUCCGCCACACUGGGACUGAGACACGGCCCAGACUCCUACGGGAGGCAGCAGUGGGGAAUAUUUGACAAUGGGCGUAAGCCUGAUCCAGCCAUGCCGCGUGUGUGAAGAAGGCCUUUUGGUUGUAAAGCACGUUAAGCGAGGAGGAGGCUACUUAGAUUAAUACUCUGGGAUAGUGGACGUUACUCGCAGAAUAAGCACCGGCUAACUCUGUGCCAGCCGCCGCAGUAAGAC
rnacentral:rRNA from 1 species